AACGCACGAGACCUGCGGACCUGCGGAAGGAUCAUUAUUGAUUUUUAACAGGAUGUGCUGGCUCUCAAGGGGGCAAUGUGCACUCCUAAUAAAACCAAUAUCCACCUGUGCACCUUAAGUAGACUAGUAGGACUCAUCACAGUCUUUCCAGUCUAUGUUCCUUCACAAACCUUUUGAAAUGUAAAUGAAUGAUCAUCUGUAUAAUUAAUAACAACUUUCAACAAUGGAUCUCUAGAUCGG
rnacentral:misc_RNA from 1 species